rnacentral:rRNA from 1 species
UUUAAAGAGAGUUUGAUCCUGGCUCAGGACGAACGCUGGCGGCGUGCCUAAUACAUGCAAGUCGAACGAACGGAGGAAGAGCUUGCUCUUCCAAAGUUAGUGGCGGACGGGUGAGUAACACGUGGGCAACCUGCCUGUAAGUUGGGGAUAACUCCGGGAAACCGGGGCUAAUACCGAAUGAUAAAGUGUGGCGCAUGCCAUGCUUUUGAAAGAUGGUUUCGGCUAUCGCUUACAGAUGGGCCCGCGGUGCAUUAGCUAGUUGGUAGGGUAAUGGCCUACCAAGUCAACGAUGCAUAGCCGACCUGAGAGGGUGAUCGGCCACACUGGG